ACAUAAAAGUUGUUGUCAUUUUUGAAGCCAAACACCAACCGAACCUUUUCAUUCGAUUGUGAGAAAAAAGCCCUUAGACCUAAAGGCCCCUUUUCUCCCUUCUCUCUUAGCUCUAUCACUCACCGUCGCUUACCUCUGUCGUAUGCUGGUCCAGCCUCCAGCAACCAUCCAUACCAACACCAGGUUAUAGAGAGAUACAUGCAGUCAAUGUCAGGGAAAUGAUAUUCAUAAUGAUCAAUGUCUCUUUCGAUAUGAUUAUUGGUGCCUAUCUACUUGGUAACAUGGCAGCAUUGAUUGUGAAAGGAUAAAAAACAGAAAGGCAACCAAAGUCCAUGAGGAAUUUUUCCUCCUAGGAGAAGUAAUUAUAGAGCAGAUUGGCAACGGUGGAAAAUAGUUCAGGCUGCAUUAGAAGAUUUGAUUUUGUGUUUUUGGAAAUAUUUUGACAUAGAAUUUUGAUAAAUGACUUAUGGGUUAGAUGUUUAGUAUCAAAAUAUUUGGUUUUGUGUUUUUGCAAAUAUUUUGACAUAGAAUUUUGGUAAAUGACUUGUGGGUUAGAUGUUUAGAAUUUGGUUUUGUGUUUUUGAAAAUAUUUUGACAUAGGAUUUGGUAAUGGAUUUGUGGGUUUGAUGUUAAUAGUUUGUAAGUACUUUGGUAUGAAUAUUUCAAAUUGUUAGAGAAUUGUAAUUAUGUUUAUUAGGAUGUUUAAUAGCUAUUAAUUUUGAAUUAUUAUGAA